rnacentral:rRNA from 1 species
UACGGGGGGAGCAAGCGUUGUUCGGAUUUACUGGGCGUAAAGGGCGCGUAGGCGGUCGUGACAAGUCACUUGUGAAAUCUCCGGGCUUAACUCGGAACGGUCAAGUGAUACUGUCGGACUAGAGUACAGAAGGGGCAACUGGAAUUCUCGGUGUAGCGGUGAAAUGCGUAGAUAUCAAGAGGAACACCUGCGGCGAAGGCGGUUCUCUGGGCAUUACCUGACGCUGAGGAGCGAAAGUGUGGGGAGCGAACAGG